GACGAACGCUGGCGGCGUGCUUAACACAUGCAAGUCGAACGGAAAGGCCCUGCUUUUGUGGGGUGCUCGAGUGGCGAACGGGUGAGUAACACGUGAGUAACCUGCCCUUGACUUUGGGAUAACUUCAGGAAACUGGGGCUAAUACCGGAUAGGAGCUCCUGCUGCAUGGUGGGGGUUGGAAAGUUUCGGCGGUUGGGGAUGGACUCGCGGCUUAUCAGCUUGUUGGUGGGGUAGUGGCUUACCAAGGCUUUGACGGGUAGCCGGCCUGAGAGGGUGACCGGCCACAUUGGGACUGAGAUACGGCCCAGACUCCUACGGGAGGCAACAGUGGGGAAUAUUGCACAAUGGGCGGAAGCCUGAUGCAGCAACGCCGCGUGCGGGAUGACGGCCUUCGGGUUGUAAGCCGCUUUCGCCUGUGACGAAGCGUGAGUGACGGUAAUGGGUAAAGAAGCACCGGCUAACUACGU
rnacentral:rRNA from 1 species